rnacentral:rRNA from 1 species
CUACGGGCUGCUGCAGCAGGGAAUUUUGCACAAUGGGCGCAAGCCUGAUGCAGCGACGCCGCGUGAGGGAUAAAGGCCUUCGGGUUGUAAACCUCUUUCAGGAGGGACGAAGCGCAAGUGACGGUACCUCCAGAAGAAGCCCCGGCCAACUACGUGCCAGCAGCCGCGGUAAUACGUAGGGGGCGAGCGUUGUCCGGAUUCAUUGGGCGUAAAGAGCUCGUAGGCGGCUCAGUAAGUCGGCCGUGAAAGCCCGGGGCUCAACCCCGGGACGCCGGUCGAUACUGCUGUGGCUAGGGUCCGGUAGAGGAGAGUGGAAUUCCCGGUGUAGCGGUGAGAUGCGCAGAUAUCGGGAGGAACACCAGUAGCGAAGGCGGCUCUCUGGGCCGGUACCGACGCUGAGGAGCGAAAGCUAGGGGAGCAAACAGGAUUAGAUACCCUUGUAGUC